rnacentral:rRNA from 1 species
UUGGAGGGCAAGUCUGGUGCCAGCAGCCGCGGUAAUUCCAGCUCCAAUAGCGUAUAUUAAAGUUGUUGCAGUUAAAAAGCUCGUAGUUGAAUUUCGGGGUCAGUAGGUUGGUCAUGCCACUGGUAUGUACUGGUCUCACUGAUUCCUCCUUCCUGAUGAACUGUAAUGCCAUUAAUUUGGUGUUGCAGGGAGUCUGGACUGUUACUUUGAAAAAAUUAGAGUGUUUAAAGCAGGCUAACGCCUGAAUACAUUAGCAUGGAAUAAUGAAAUAGGACGUUCGAUCCUAUUUUGUUGGUUUCUAGGAUUGACGUAAUGAUUAAUAGGGAUAGUUGGGGGCAUUAGUAUUCAAUUGUCAGAGGUGAAAUUCUUGGAUUUAUUGAAGACUAACUACUGCGAAAGCAUUUGCCAAGGAUGUUUUCAUUAAUCAAGAACGAAAGCUAGGGGAUCGAAGACGAUCAGAUACCGUCGUAGUCUUAACCAUAAACUAUGCCGACUAGGGAUCGGAUGAUGUUAAUUUUUUAAUGACUCAUUCGGCGCCUUACGGGAAAC